rnacentral:lncRNA from 1 species
GUAAAACAUAACCAGAAUUCAUUAACACCAGAAGACAUUUUUCCUUGUCUUGGUAAUAAAACGCAGAUAACCCUACGUUCUUAAAGAAAACGAGCGUAGAAGACAAAUCACAACAGUUUUUUUUUUCAUGUCUUAGUAAUAACACAACUAAAUAACACAACUAAAUAACACAACUAAAUGACACUACAUUCUCAAUAAUAAUUAAGAUAGUAGAACAAUAACAAGAGUUUAAAGAGAUGACUAGUUCACUGCGUAGCUUUCACAUCAACAUUGGAAUCAGGAGGUCGCUCACCACCUGCCAAAAAUAAAAUGAUAAUUACAACUAAGAAAAGCAGAGCAGGACAGACACAAAAUAAAUUUAAAGCAUCAAUUUUCUCAUCAUUUGUCUGUAUAUAAAACAAUUUGGAAGUUCCAACCUGCACAAAGCAAACACCUUGAAGGCUUGACCAGAAAAUGCAGACCUUGCGAUCGAGAUAGACAAGUUGCAACGACAAGGGAGUUGAAUGUUUUAGGUAUAACAUUAUUUCGAUGUGAAACAAGACUUAUGUCCUACUAACGAAUUUUCCAAAGGAACCUAAAUAUACUACGAGAAAACAGACUUUUAGUUAUGACCCACGAAGUCGCCACAAAAUCAAGGGUUUUUCGUGGCGAUAUAUAGUUGCAUGACAAGUAAAGAUUUUAGACCUGAAAAGUCGCCACAUGUAAUCGAGACUAUAGGCUAAAUUUUUGUCCACUGAAAAUGAAAUAUUUUGAAAUAUUAGGCAUGGAAAAUUUUCGUGGUGACCUGCUGAAAGCCACCACAGAUAGGCAAUUGGGGUGACCUAGUCCCUUCGUUUGGUCCUUGUUUCCAGUUAAGCUGGAAUCGUUUCACUAAUGCAAGAAGCUCUUGCAAUGAAUCAUGCACUCUUUGAGAAAUUUAUAACAUCAGAUUGCCUAGGUUAGAAAACCACGAAAACUGAAUGAGUUCAAAAUCAUUUUUGGAAGAAAAGAGAAAAUGAGAUGGGAAGAGAAAAGCUACACAUUCUCUUAGUUCUACUCUUAAAUGAAUUGUUUCUUUUCUUCAGUAGUAAAGAACCUUGGCAUCAUCAAGAAGGAAAAAAAAGAAAGUAGAGAUCUUUCAUUUGGUUCCAGGAGGAUAUAAUCAUGAUGAAAAUGAAAAAAAUAGUUUAUGGCAAGGACAACCUCAAACUCAUAAUAAAAUGAGAAAUUUCAGGCAAAAGACAAAUAGAAAUACAUAUAUUUAUAGCAAAGAUAGGGAAAUGUUAUGAGGAAAGAGUUUUUUAAAAAAAAGGCAGACCGAUACACAAAGUAUCCCGCAUUCACGUAGGAUCCAGGGAAGAGUCGUAUCCCAUGGGGUGUGAUGUAGAUAGCCUACCCUAAUGCAAGCAUUAGUGGCUGCUUCCACGGCUCGGACCGUGAUGUACAGGUCACACGGAGAUAACUUUACCAUUGCUCCAAGGUUCCCCUUCAAUUUAUGAGGAAAGUGUGUUCCUAAA